UGAAUACGAGAACUAACUAAUCACAGCAGUCAUGCCAUUCCAAAUUGUAAACAAAACGUUUGAAAAAGUCAUGGAACUUCUUCGGAAUUUCAAGAUCAAACGAAAGGUUCCCAUUUACAACGAGCGAAGGUUGGCAAAGAUGGGUCCACUAUCAAUAUCCUUUAUCAAAAUUCCAUCAAGUAUUAUGUGAACUGUGUUCUGAAACCGUACCUAGUGGACAGCGAAACAAGGCUGUGAUAAUGCUAGGGUCAAAGUCAAAGUAGAGAGCCUGAGGGACGUGUUGAAGACAUG